GACGAACGCUGGCGGCGUGCCUAAUACAUGCAAGUGGGACGCAAGGGAACACACUGUGCUUGCACACCGUGUUUUCUUGAGUCGCGAACGGGUGAGUAACGCGUAGGUAACCUGCCUAUUAGCGGGGGAUAACUAUUGGAAACGAUAGCUAAUACCGCAUAAUAUUAAUUAUUGCAUGAUAAUUGAUUGAAAGAUGCAAGCGCAUCACUAGUAGAUGGACCUGCGUUGUAUUAGCUAGUUGGUAAGGUAAGAGCUUACCAAGGCGACGAUACAUAGCCGACCUGAGAGGGUGAUCGGCCACACUGGGACUGAGACACGGCCCAGACUCCUACGGGAGGCAGCAGUAGGGAAUCUUCGGCAAUGGACGAAAGUCUGACCGAGCAACGCCGCGUGAGUGAAGAAGGUUUUCGGAUCGUAAAGCUCUGUUGUAAGUCAAGAACGUGUGUGAGAGUGGAAAGUUCACACAGUGACGGAGCUACCA
rnacentral:rRNA from 1 species